AACGCACGAGACCUGCGGACCUGCGGAAGGAUCAUUAAUGAGAAGCUGCCCCUCGUGGGUAGACCUCCCACCCUCUGUGAACUUACCUUUGUUGCUUUGGCAGGCCCGUCCUCUGGACCGCCGGCUUCGGCUGGCCCGUGCCUGCCAGAGGAUUCCAAACCCUGUCUGUCAGUGUUGUCUGAGUCUAUAUGAAAUCGUUAAAACUUUUAGCAAUGGAUCUCUAGAUCGGAAGAGCACACG
rnacentral:misc_RNA from 1 species